UGGGGAAUUUUGGACAAUGGGCGAAAGCCUGAUCCAGCAAUGCCGCGUGUGUGAAGAAGGCCUUCGGGUUGUAAAGCACUUUUGUCCGGAAAGAAAUCCUUGGCUCUAAUACAGUCGGGGGAUGACGGUACCGGAAGAAUAAGCACCGGCUAACUACGUGCCAGCAGCCGCGGUAAUACGUAGGGUGCAAGCGUUAAUCGGAAUUACUGGGCGUAAAGCGUGCGCAGGCGGUUUGCUAAGACCGAUGUGAAAUCCCCGGGCUCAAACCUGGGAACUGCAUUGGUGACUGGCAGGCUAGAGUAUGGCAGAGGGGGGUAGAAUUCCACGUGUAGCAGUGAAAUGCGUAGAGAUGUGGAGGAAUACCGAUGGCGAAGGCAGCCCCCCUGGGCCAAAUACUGACGCUCAUGCACGAAAAGCGUGGGGAGCAAAACAGGAUUAGAUACCCUGGUAGUCCACGCCCUAAAACGAUGUCAACUAGUUGUUGGGGAUUCAUUUCCUUAGUAACGUAGCUAACGCGUGAAGUUGACCGCCUGGGGAGUACGUCGCAAGAUUAAAACUCAAAGGAAUUGACGGGGUCAUAGCUGUUUCCU
rnacentral:rRNA from 1 species